UUAGGAAAACUCCAUUUCAACGCCUUCAACAGAUAUCAUUUUCAACUCCCAUUCACGCAUAAAAUUAACUUUGAUUUCUUCCAGAUGAGUAAUAAGGGACUUAGCAGCAUCAACAAUAACCUGCUUUGGAGAACAAUCUUCUACGGUUUGUACACGAAGUAUGAAAUUGUGAUUUAAUGGAUGAGGAACUUUGUAACCAGCAAAAAGAACCCUUUCGUCAGAUAGGAGUUGACUUCGAAAAAGCAGUUAGAAAAGAAAAAAAAAUUUAGAAGUCUUACUUUGCAAGCAUAUUAGCCAAUGUAUGAUCCUCUUUUUCAAGAGUAACUACUGCGGCAUUAGGUGAUUUGCUAUCGAGCUCAUAUGUGACUCUACACUGGUUAAUGCAAUUCCUUGUAAAAUUGUUUAUUCCUUACUUGGGGAGUCCCAUAAGCUCAAUGAGCUCAUACCGUUCUGGCUGAUUCAUUAUGCCAACGUUUUCAGCCGACUAGCUGAAGAAGAAGUAAGAUGUUGAUGCUUACGAGGGUUUUGUCCACGUUCUGUACAUUAAGCAUCACUAUAAAUCGUAAUGCCAUUUAACAAAAGCUUUAACACUUUAUUCCACAACUCAUCGUAUUUCGUUAUAAAUAACGCGAACGUGAACGGACACUUAAUAUAUAUUUAUCUGUUGGAAAUCGGCUCAAACG